ACACCUCAACUCCCAUGGUUCGCCAUGGUGAGCUUGGACUUUGGGGGUUUUGCUGGCCCAUGGUCAGCUCCUCUCAAAUGAAUUAGCCUGCCAGUGUUUGGUGGCAUCACAGGUGUGAUAAAUAUCUACGCUUGCGAUUGCCCGCCAUGUAACCUUCAGCAAUGGGGGUUCGCUGGGGCUCAUAGACGUCUCUCCCUAAGUGAGGACAGUUUUUUAAC
rnacentral:misc_RNA from 1 species